GAUGAACGCUGGCGGCGUGCCUAAUACAUGCAAGUCGAGCGAACGGACGAGAAGCUUGCUUCUCUGAUGUUAGCGGCGGACGGGUGAGUAAGACGUGGAUAACCUACCUAUAAGACUGGGAUAACUUCGGGAAACCGGAUCUAAUACCGGCUGAUAUUUUGAACCGCAUGGUUCAAAAGUGCAUGACGGUUUUGCUGUCUCUUAUAGAUGGAUCCGCGCUGGAUUAGCUAGUUGGUAAGGUAACGGCUUACCAAGGCAACGAUGCAUAGCCGACCUGAGAGGGUGAUCGGCCACACUGGAACUGAGACACGGUCCAGACUCCUACGGGAGGCAGCAGUAGGGAAUCUUCGGCAAUGGGCGAAAGCCUGACGGAGCAAUGCCGCGUGAGUGAUGAAGGUCUUCGGAUCGUAAAACUCUGUUAUUAGGGAAGAACAGAUGUGUAAGUAACUGUGCACAUCUUGACGGUACCUAAUCAGAAAGCAACGGCUAACUACGUG
rnacentral:rRNA from 1 species